rnacentral:rRNA from 1 species
UACGGAGGGUGCAACCGUUGCUCGGAAUCAUUGGGCGUAAAGCGCACGUAGGCGGCCUGUUAAGUCGGGUGUGAAAUCCCUGGGCUCAACCCAGGAAGUGCACUCGAAACUGGCGGGCUUGAGUACUGAAGAGGGUCGCGGAAUUCCCGGUGUAGAGGUGAAAUUCGUAGAUAUCGGGAGGAACACCAGUGGCGAAGGCGACUACCUGGCCUGUUCUUGACGCUGAGGCGCGAAAGCUAGGGGAGCAAACGGG